CGGUGUCUGCGCGCGGCCCCCCGGAGGGACGUGUUCCCGCUCGGCUCCGCUUAGCUGGGCCGGGCAGGGCCGGGCAGGGCCGGGCAGAUCCGGGGUUUCCCACCGCGGCGUCGUCCUCCCGCGCGAACAGAUCCUUCCUCGGGUUCCUCCUCAGCGCCUCAGGCUGCGGCCCGGGCGCGCGCGUGCGCGGUUGUGUGCGCGUCCGUGUGCGCGUCCGUGUGCGCGUCUGUGCGCGUGCGCGUCCGAGGAAGCACUUGUCCGCGCUGGGUGACCGACCUCCCCCCGCGGAAUUCAGGAUUAAGAGCCUUUCAGAGAAGCGUUCGGCCGGAGGUGUAGAGCCCCCGUGAAAGUCACCGCGUCAGACGCGGACACCCGUUACCCAUUACCUAAAGGCAAAAGGAGGACCCGUUUCCGCCUCCGUGGAACGAGAGUGGCACAGAACAAAACCCGAAGGUUUCUUCCCAACAAAAAGAUUGACGCAGUGGGAGGCGUAAACCGUGGUUUCCAGUUCGAAGUACGGCACCGAAUGGAGACUUUGGACAUUUUCAGCCUAAUUAGAGAUCGGUCACGCUCACGUAGGAUACAGCUAGCACACCUGUGUUGCUGUAACAAGCCAUGCUGGACCACCUUCCUACAGAUGACUCUUCUCACCCGUCCUGGGCUCUGAAAUUCUAUGCUGAGUUAUCUCUCUGCAGGGAUGUCCUCUUCACCCUGCCUGGACUCAAACACCCCAUUACAUGAGGCUUCCCUUGGAAAUGACCUCGUUCUUGAUGGCUGCUGCUAAUUUAUGGCGAAACGCUAGGUCCCUGGCCAAUACCACAUGGACAUCCAAUCAAUUUACCCAGGGACAGGUCCACUCAAGAGCAUCAUUUAGAAGAGAGAAGCACUGGGGUUACUUGUCGUUGGAGUUUAUGUUUAAGAAAAUCUCGUGUGUUCCCAUGAACACUGUGCUGAGAAUGACCAGAAGCCCUCGUGUGAGAUUUGGAAAACCAGGAGAAGUGGAAGCCUCGCUCCUGCCACCUCCGGGGCUUCUGUUGGUAAGUGCUGCCGUAAGGUGCUGAGCUCCUCAGGAAGCAUCCCAGUGUCCUAUUAACCAGCUUCCCAUGUCAAGGGGAGGACACAGGCAUCCAUCCUUGGCCAGUGCAGAGCUAGCAGGCAUAGGAUGGAUCCAACACCUCCAGCGGCGGUGGCUUCCUGAUUCUAGACUGUUCCCUGGCAGCAUGGCCUCACAUGAAGAGCUCUCUAGGGGCCUUCUGAUCUUGUGCGUCUCUCACGGUGACGGAGGAAGCAGCUUCUUGGGUGUCCUGUCGUGUGGUGCUGCUCUGGGGUCAUUCCUGGAAGCCUGGCCUAAAGCUUGCUCCUCCGACCUCCAGCAAUCCUGUAAGUGCCCUCUUCCCUGUGUGAAAUCCCUUCUGCUGAAAAUAACUCGAGUUGGUUGUUUUCUGUAACUGAACCCUGACUGAUAGGGGGACCACCACUCAAUUUAUAAUGUUUUAUUUCCUUAAAAAAAAAACUCUGAAGGACAUGUGGCAAAAUGUUAACGUUUAAAACUCCAGGGAGCAGGAACAUGGAUGUUUGUUAUUUGUUGUAUGUUUGAGAUUGUGUUAUAAUGUUUUUUUUUAAGAUAUUAUUAAUUUUUCAUGAGAGACACAGAUAGAGAGAGGCAGAGAUAGAGGGAGAAGCAGGCUCCCUGU